AUUGAACGCUGGCGGCAGGCCUAACACAUGCAAGUCGAGCGGAUGAAGGGAGCUUGCUCCUGGAUUCAGCGGCGGACGGGUGAGUAAUGCCUAGGAAUCUGCCUGGUAGUGGGGGAUAACGUCCGGAAACGGGCGCUAAUACCGCAUACGUCCUGAGGGAGAAAGUGGGGGAUCUUCGGACCUCACGCUAUCAGAUGAGCCUAGGUCGGAUUAGCUAGUUGGUGGGGUAAAGGCCUACCAAGGCGACGAUCCGUAACUGGUCUAAGAGGAUGAUCAGUCACACUGGAACUGAGACACGGUCCAGACUCCUACGGGAGGCAGCAGUGGGGAAUAUUGGACAAUGGGCGAAAGCCUGAUCCAGCCAUGCCGCGGGUGUGAAGAAGGUCUUCGGAUUGUAAAGCACUUUAAGUUGGAAGGAAGGGCAGUAAGUUAAUACCUUGCUGUUUGGACGUUCCAACAGAAUAAGCACCGGCUAACUUCGUG
rnacentral:rRNA from 1 species